rnacentral:rRNA from 1 species
GACGAACGCUGGCGGCGUGCCUAAUACAUGCAAGUAGAACGCUGAAGGAGGAGCUUGCUUCUCUGGAUGAGUUGCGAACGGGUGAGUAACGCGUAGGUAACCUGCCUGGUAGCGGGGGAUAACUAUUGGAAACGAUAGCUAAUACCGCAUAAUAGUAGAUGUUGCAUGACAUUUGCCUAAAAGGUGCAAUUGCAUCACUACCAGAUGGACCUGCGUUGUAUUAGCUAGUUGGUGGGGUAACGGCUCACCAAGGCGACGAUACAUAGCCGACCUGAGAGGGGGAUCGGCCACACUGGGACUGAGACACGGCCCAGACUCCUACGGGAGGCAGCAGUAGGGAAUCUUCGGCAAUGGACGGAAGUCUGACCGAGCAACGCCGCGUGAGUGAAGAAGGUUUUCGGAUCGUAAAGCUCUGUUGUAAGAGAAGAACGAGUGUGAGAGUGGAAAGUUCACACUGUGACGGUAUCUUACCAGAAAGAGACGGCUAACUACGUG